GUUGAUGGACCCGUCCUCCGGUGCCUACUGAGCUGAUAUCAGUUCUGAUUUUACAUACUGGCUCAGUUCAGCAGGAACAGGAGUCGAGCCCUAAA
ensembl:miRNA